CCUACGGGAGGCUGCAGUGAGGAAUAUUGGUCAAUGGACGCAAGUCUGAACCAGCCAAGCCGCGUGCAGGAUGACUGCUCUAUGGGUUGUAAACUUCUUUUUUAAAGGAGUAAAACGAGGUACGUGUGUCUUCUUGCACGUACUUUACGAAUAAGGAUCGGCUAACUCCGUGCCAGCAGCCGCGGUAAUACGGAGGAUCCGAGCGUUAUCCGGAUUUAUUGGGUUUAAAGGGUGCGUAGAUGGGUUGUUAAGUUAGAUGUGAAAGUUUGGGGCUCAACCAUAGAAUUGCAUUUGAUACUGGCAGACGAGAGAAUAGUUGAGGUAGGCGGAAUUCGUGGUGUAGCGGUGAAAUGCGUAGAGAUCACGAAGAACACCGAUUGCGAAGGCAGCUUACUAAACUGUGACUGACGUUGAUGCUCGAAAGCGUGGGUAUCAAACAGGAUUAGAUACCCCGGUAGUC
rnacentral:rRNA from 1 species